UGAUGUCGACUAGCCUUAUUGCUAAUUC
rnacentral:sRNA from 1 species